AUGCAAGUCGACGGUAACAGGAGAAAGCUUGCUUUCUUGCUGACGAGUGGCGGACGGGUGAGUAAUGCUUGGGAAUCUGGCUUAUGGAGGGGGAUAACUACGGGAAACUGUAGCUAAUACCGCGUAAUAUCUUCGGAUUAAAGGGUGGGACUUUCGGGCCACCUGCCAUAAGAUGAGCCCAAGUGGGAUUAGGUAGUUGGUGGGGUAAAGGCCUACCAAGCCGACGAUCUCUAGCUGGUCUGAGAGGAUGACCAGCCACACUGGAACUGAGACACGGUCCAGACUCCUACGGGAGGCAGCAGUGGGGAAUAUUGCACAAUGGGGGGAACCCUGAUGCAGCCAUGCCGCGUGAAUGAAGAAGGCCUUCGGGUUGUAAAGUUCUUUCGGUGAUGAGGAAGGUGUUUGUUUUAAUAGAACAAGCAAUUGACGUUAGUCACAGAAGAAGCACCGGCUAACUCCGUGCCAGCAGCCGCGGUAAUACGGAGGGUGCGAGCGUUAAUCGGAAUGACUGGGCGUAAAGGGCACGCAGGCGGUGACUUAAGUGAGAUGUGAAAGCCCCGAGCUUAACUUGGGAAUUGCAUUUCAUACUGGGUCGCUAGAGUAUUUUAGGGAGGGGUAGAAUUCCACGUGUAGCGGUGAAAUGCGUAGAGAUGUGGAGGAAUACCGAAGGCGAAGGCAGCCCCUUGGGAAUAUACUGACGCUCAUGUGCGAAAGCGUGGGGAGCAAACAGGAUUAGAUACCCUGGUAGUCCACGC
rnacentral:rRNA from 1 species